GACGAACGCUGGCGGCGUGCUUAACACAUGCAAGUCGAACGGAAAGGCCCUGCUUUUGUGGGGUGCUCGAGUGGCGAACGGGUGAGUAACACGUGAGUAACCUGCCCUUGACUUUGGGAUAACUUCAGGAAACUGGGGCUAAUACCGGAUAGGAGCUCCUGCUGCAUGGUGGGGGUUGGAAAGUUUCUGCGGUUGGGGAUGGACUCGCGGCUUAUGAGCUUGUUGGUGGGGUAGUGGCUUACCAAGGCUUUGACGGGUAGCCGGCCUGAGAGGGUGACCGGCCACAUUGGUACUGCGAGACGGCGCAGACUGCUACGGUAGGCAGCAGUGGGGAACAUUGCACAAUGGGAGGAAGCCUGAUGCAGCAACGCCGCGUUCGGGAUGACGGCCUUCGGGUUGUGAACCGCUUUCGCCUGUGACGAAGCGUUAGUGACGGUAAUGGGUAAAGAAGCACCGGCUAACUACGUG
rnacentral:rRNA from 1 species